UGGGGCGUCGUCAAGUGGUAAGACACAGGACUUUGACUCCUGUAUUCGCAGGUUCGAAUCCUGCCGCCCCAGCCA
rnacentral:tRNA from 1 species